GACGAACGCUGGCGGCGUGCCUAAUACAUGCAAGUCGAACGCAGUGGGGACGGGUGAGUAACACGUGGGUAACCUCCCAUCAGAGGGGAUAACACUUGGAAACAGGUGCUAAAACUGAUACUGAUGUAUGGACUCGCGGUGCAUUAGCUAGUUGGUGGGGUAACGGCUCACCAAGGCCACGAUGCAUAGCCGGCCUGAGAGGGUGAUCGGCCACACUGGGACUGAGACACGGCCCAGACUCCUACGGGAGGCAGCAGUAGGGAAUCUUCGGCAAUGGGCGAAAGUCUGACCGAGCAACGCCGCGUGAGUGAAGAAGGUUUUCGGAUCGUAAAGCUCUGUUGUUAGAGAAGCGGUAUCUAACCAGAAAGCCACGGCUAACUACGUGCCAGCAGCCGCGGUAAUUC
rnacentral:rRNA from 1 species